rnacentral:rRNA from 1 species
AUGCUGGUGCGGACCCUGCACUGGAUGGUGCCGUCAUACGCCAUCUGGGGCUUGCCAUUCUUCCUGUUUUACUCGACACGUUUCUCCCAGCUCUUCUACGAGCGGCCCAACCAGAGCUUCUUCAGAUCCCUCCUCUGCCGCCUCAUGAGCCCACUGCGGGCAGGGGUGUCGAAGUUCAUCGAGUCGUACCUGUUGUGGAAGCUGCCGCUGGGCAAGUACGGUCUGACGCCGGACCACCCCUUUGUCGAGGACUACGCCAGCUGCCAACUGGCCUUCCUCCCGGAGGGCUUCUUCGACAUGGCUGACCACGGCCUGGUGCGCUUCAAGAGGGCCCCCGACGGGUGGUGGCUCUCGGAGAUCGGCGUCGUCCUCGAAGACGGCACCGGGGUGGAGGCCGACCUCGUCUUCCUCGCCACCGGCUUCGAGGGCACGGACAAGCUCCGCGAGGUCCUCCCUAAGCCCUUCCGCGGCCUCCUCGUCGACGAGUCCUCCAUGAUGCCCCUCUACCACGGCACGAUCCACCCGCUGAUCCCGAACAUGGCAUUCGUGGGGUUCGUGGAGAGCGCAUCGAACCUGCACACGUCGGAGCUGCGGUGCCGAUGGCUGGCGGGGCUGCUGGAGGGGCGGUUCGAGCUGCCUACCGUGCAGGCCAUGAUGAGGCACGUCGCCGGCGAGGCCGACGCCAUGCGUCGCACCACGCGGUUCUACCGCCGGCACUGCAUCUCCACCUACAGCAUCCACGACAGCGACGGCAUGUGCGCCGACCUGAGCUCCGCCACGCACCGCAAGACCAACUGGAUCUCCGAGCUCUUCGCUCCAUACAACAAGGAGGACUACAAGCAACAGUAA